UUACUGGGACUUACAUAAUAUUUGAGCCUCUUUCCUGCUCCUGCUUAAAUAAAAAAAACACAUGGAUUACUCACAGAACAAACAGACUUGUUUACACUAACUUGGUUCCGAAAAAGUAAUCAUGUACACACAAAAAACUCACCUUUCAGGACUUUACUGUUUAACUUUUAUUUUCAAAGACAACCAUUUGUUUUGUUUUUCAAAAAAAGGCCAUAAUCGUCUGGCUCCUAAAGUUCAGUGUGUUUGCCCUCCUCCUCGAGUUUGAUGUUUGUUUGCUGAAUAAUGAAACUUGUGGGGUUUUUUUAAUCCACAUGUAAAAAUAAGUCGUGGUUUGGGUCAUGUGAUUCAGCCAAUAAGUGAAUAAAGCAACCCCUUAUUUAUUUCUAUUUUUUUGUAAAUGUCCUUUAACCUUCCCAGCUGUGUUUAAACCAACUCUCCCGACUGUCAUGUGGUAAAACAGCUGCAGGUUAAUUUCUUCUUCUCACUUCAGCUCUGGAAUAAUGUGCAGAUUAAAGAGGAAGACACUUUGCAGCCCCGCCUCAUGUUCAUGUUGCUGUACUCUGCUUCUAAAUCUUCUGACCUGGUUUUAAUUUAUUCAAAAAUCUUUUUAAUAUUUUAUUAUUUUACAGCUUACAAAAUGCAUCAUAUAGUGAUUUGCAUUCAAAAGUGAGUGUGUCUUUAAAAUAAAGCUUUUUCUUUUUUUAAAAAGGCACCUCAACAUAUUACAACAUACAUGGCGAUGUUUUCAUAAAGCAGUAAUGAAAUCAGCAUUUCAGGCUGCAACAAUCACAAAACUGCUCCCGAAAUCCAGGAGGAAUUAAUCCGGUGAAAAAGGGCUGUCUGUAACGCUGAAUCGAACUAAGAUAAUCUGAAUGUAAAAAUAAGUCGGGAUGAUAACAAUUAGUCAAUUAAGAAUUUGAUCGAACAAGUUUAAUUGAUCCUUCAAUGCUGUUGGAGUGUGUACGUUGUGUUGCUGUGAGCUUUGACUGAUGAUAAAAACACAUCUGUAUCAGAGGUUUUAUGUUUCUUGUGUCGUUUUUUAAAACUCACUUUUAAUCAAUUAUCUGGUUGAGUCAGAGUGGACGAGCAGUAAUGAAACAGAUUUGAGGCUUUCACAUGAAGUUUUGACUUUUAAUACAAAAAGCUAAACUGUACAAAUAAACUAAAACAUUAGGUCCAUAAAAACAUCAUAAAGCAGAUUUUAUUAAAACAAACUAUAAAACCAGGGUUCUGAUCCAACCUUCACCAGGUCACUGCUGACUUCACCUCAGUUUAUAAUUUACACUCAGCAGAUAAUGACCCUGGUCAGAGGACUGAUCCCUGCUGCAGUGCUCCGAUUGGCUGAACAGCUCAUCUGUCAUGUAAACCACCAGUCAGCUGAUCUGCCGUCAUCCUGAGAUAAAAAUGUCUGUACAUGUAGUUCUGUGGUUUGAGCGUUUCCUUCUGCAGAGACUCAGGGAGAAGCUUCUGGAAUGUGUGACUGAGUGUCUCCACCUCUGUCCUCAGAAGUCGGCGUCCAGCCUGAAGGUGUUGUCUGUGGUGCCGGACAUCACGCCCAUCCUCUGGUACUCGCCCACACGCUUCUCAAAGAAGUUGGUCUUUCCCUCCAGAGAGAUGUUCUCCAUGAAGUCGAAGGGGUUCUCCGCCCGGUAGAUCUACAGAGACACAACACAGAACCCAGGAGAAGCUGACUGAUCAGCUGUUUCCGGAACGAAGCGUUCUGAUUGGCUGCCUGAGAAGACAACAACACAGCCUGUGAAUGUAGGUCAGCAGGUGGAGUCGCCCCCUGUCGGCAGGAACGAGAACUGCAGUGGUACACUGAGGAA